rnacentral:rRNA from 1 species
GGCGUAGGAAAUUUGAGAAGACCUGUCCUUAGUACGAGAGGACCGGGAUGGACGUACCUCUGGUGUACCAGUUGUCCUGCCAAGGGCAUGGCUGGGUAGCUAUGUACGGAAUGGAUAAGCGCUGAAAGCAUCUAAGCGCGAAGCCAACUUCAAGAUAAGAUUUCCCACCGCAAGGGUAAGACCCCAGAAAGACUAUCUGGUUGAUAGGUCGAAGGUGUAAGUGCAGUAAUGUAUUUAGCUUAUCGAUACUAAUAGGUCGAGGACUUGACCAAU